UACGUAGGGUGCGAGCGUUAAUCGGAAUUACUGGGCGUAAAGGGUGCGCAGGCGGUCUCGUAAGCUGGGUGUGAAAGCCCCGGGCUUAACCUGGGAAUGGCAUUCAGGACUGCGAGGCUUUGAGUGCGGCAGAGGGAGGUGGAAUUCCACGUGUAGCAGUGAAAUGCGUAGAGAUGUGGAGGAACACCGAUGGCGAAGGCAGCCCCCUGGGAUAACACUGACGCUCAGGCACGAAAGCGUGGGGAGCAAACAGG
rnacentral:rRNA from 1 species